GGAGCAACGCCGCGUGCAGGAUGAAGGCCUUCGGGUUGUAAACUGCUUUUAUCUGUGACGAUUAUGACGGUAGCAGAUGAAUAAGGAUCGGCUAACUCCGUGCCAGCAGCCGCGGGUCAUACGGAGGAUCCAAGCGUUAUCCGGAAUUACUGGGCGUAAAGAGUUGCGUAGGCGGCAUUGUAAGCAGGUAGUGAAAGCGUGUGGCUCAACCAUACUCACAUUACCUGAACUGCAAAGCUAGAGGACAAGAGAGGUCACUGGAAUUCCUAGUGUAGGAGUGAAAUCCGUAGAUAUUAGGAGGAACACCGAUGGCGUAGGCAGGUGACUGGCUUGUUCCUGACGCUCAGGCACGAAAGCGUGGGUAGCAAACGGGAUUAGAUACCCCGGUAGUCCACGCCGUAAACGAUGGAUGCUAGCUGUAUUCGGUAUCGACCCCGGAUGUAGCGASUAAACGCGUUAAGCAUCCCGCCUGUGGAGUACGGUCGCAAGACUAAAACAUAAAGGAAUUGACGGGGACCGCACAAGCGUGGAGCGUGUUGUUUAAUUCGAUGGUAAACGAAGAACCUUACC
rnacentral:rRNA from 1 species